CUGGUCUGCUGCUCUGACAGAGAUCACAGCUCAAACCGUGCACAGAUGAUGCAGCUGUGCAACAGGUCAUAUUUAAUUGCUUUAAAAUGACGGCACCGAGGAAAGGACAUCUCAUUUCUUUAAAUGCCUGUUUGAGCAGUCGAGGGGGCAGAAAUUUAGGAAAUGAGAAAGGCCCAAUGUAGUCUUGUGUGUUCCUUGUAAACAGGUCUGUACCUGCUGGAUGAUAGCGGGUGCUCCUUGGGGUUUCCGCUGCGUCUCUUUUGGUAUAUGCGUUGCUCCACUGCUGCCUCGAUCUGUUUUCCCAUGGCAGGUGUCCUCGGUGCUUGCUUUCUCCAUCUCCAUGCGACGGCAUGUAUGUGCAGCAACAUGUUAUCGCACCAUAUUUUUGUCAUUCUGCACAUUGCUGCAGCUCCUCUUUUCACCUUGUGUGUUGACGACAUGUCUCUAAUAGGGGUGUAACAAUCCAUCGAUCCAUAUCGAUUAAAUAAUCAGCAAUCUAAUAUAGUCGAUUUAAAAUGAAAACAUCGAUACGUAUCAUCAUUUAUAAUAUGCGCCUUUAUUUUGAAAUCCCCAUAACACCCCUGCAUCUUUAUUUCCGUUGGCACUGCUCCUUCCUAAACAAUGUUAGCGGUGCCAUGCUCAUGGCAGGUAGCCAAGAAAAGGACGAGGAAAUUUUAGCACACGCUGGAACAAUUCGUUUGACAAAAACUAAACUAAGGAAAGCAAAUGACGUACAUACACUCAACGAAAGUGACAUCACUACAGCUGAAGACUUGGUGAAGCUACUUGGACCAGUGAAAAGUGCCACCAUCAUCAUGUGUGAGGAACAUCAGCCCACUGUGUCUGUCAUUGCACCACUUAAAGCUAAAUUGUUGGAGCACUUCAGUGUCUCAGAGAAAGACUCCACUUUAGUAACAGAGAUAAAGCAGACUAUGGCCAGGGAGCUUGAACAGCGAUACGUGGAUGUGCAGCAAGUCCUACAUAAAGCAUCUGCCAUUAGAUCCAAGGUUCGUGAAGCUGCCAUUCAGAAGUGAGGAGGAGAGCGGUGCAACCUUCCACUGUCUCAUACGUGAGGCUGCAGAGCUGUGGGACCAGAAAAGUGACACAGUGGCACAUAUUGAGAAUACACCUCUUCACUCAUCUGGUGACCAAACUUCUGCUGAUCAAUCUGAGUCGGUGCCAGUGUCUCAGGCUCAAGCCACUGAACAAGAAGUCAAAGGCACUUGAAGAUCUCUUUGGUGACACCUUCUGCACUGUGGACACUAGCCAGACAGUCAAGACCUCCAGAGAACUAGCCCAUGCUGAAGCUACUAAGUAUAAAGACACUGCAUCUUUGAUCCUGGGAGGUAAUGUGUUGGAAAGUUCAACAGGAUGAGCUUCCUCUCCUGGCAAACCUUGCCAAAACAUAACUUUGCAUUCCUGGUACUAGGGUACCUUCUGAGCGUGUAUUUACUACUGCAGGUGACAUUGUUCGUUCAAAACGCAGUGUUUUGUCUCCUGAACAUGUCGAUCAGUUGUUUUUUUGAAGAAAAACCUCUCAAAGAAGAACACUGAUGGACAUAAUUGACUAUUGUAGAGAUUCCAUAGUAAGCUAUGAUCCAAAUAGUCAUCAAACCUACAGAUGACUACAUGCAAAGGACUUUAAGUAUUUGUACUUGUUCAAUAUGCACAAAUUUGGAAUUGUUUACAUUUGCUUUGUUGUGAUAUUUUGAUUUGGUGAAGAAAACUUUACAUCCCAAAGUAGUAGUGGAUAGCUAUGAUGCAGGAAGACUGUACUGCAUUUGCACUUUAAAUGCUGACCUUUGUUUCUGUGAAAAAUAUAUUGUUUGAGACUCUAAAUAUGAGUGAAUGUUUACACAAGCUUGAACUCUUUUGUAAAUGUGAAGUUAAAGUUAUUUCACUUUUCAUUUAUAAGAUGGGAUGAACAUGUUAAAGCUCAUUAUCUCUAAACCUCUGAGUGAGCACACAGAUGUAACCUUGUAAAUCCAAGGUACUAAAGCAUAUUAUGUACACAGUUAUGUUCAUAAUUAAGAAGUCAUAAAGGGCUCUUUAAAGUUAGUUAACUGAUUUUGCACUGAAACAUGAGAAAUGUGGCGCUAUAGUGAACAACAGGUUAUCUAUUUUCUUUUAUUAAAGAGAUUGUUUUUCUUUUAAAUGUAUGGAAGAGCUCCAUAAUAAAUUUUGUCAAAUCAUAUUUUAGUUGUAUUUGUUGUGAAUUGGAAUAAAUCUAACUGAAAGUGUUUAAUGGCCAUAUGAUAUUGUCUAAUAUUGAUUGCAGGCCCCUGAAUUGAAUCGAAUUGAAAUCGUAUCGUGGCAGGCUUUGUGAUAUCUGCAAAUAUCGUAUUGUUACCCAAAGAAUCAAUAUAAUAUCAUAUCGUGACAAAACUUGUGAUCUACAUCCCUAGUCUCUAAAUGAUGUUUGUUGGGAGUUGCGCAUGCAUAGCUAAGGACUACUAGCCAAUCAGAAGUAGAGAAGGGCGGGCCAGCGAGAAACCCAUAAACUGCUUCGAUUCAGCUGUAGGCUACAUGUUACCGACCGGCUUAGCAACAUGGACUGAAGCAAGAUGGAUGGAGAAUUUAUUGUCAUUGCACAUGAAAUACAACGAGAUGCAGUUUAGAGCAAACCAUUGAACUUAGCAGCUUCUAUAAAUAAAUAAAUACGCCAUAAAAGGAUUGCAUAAAAU